rnacentral:rRNA from 1 species
CCCAGACUCCUACGGGAGGCAGCAGUGGGGGAUAUUGCACAAUGGGGGAAACCCUGAUGCAGCGACGCCGCGUGGGUGAAGAAGUAUUUCGGUAUGUAAAGCCCUAUCAGCAGGGAAGAAAGAAGACGGUACCUGACUAAGAAGCCCCGGCUAACUACGUGCCAGCAGCCGCGGUAAUACGUAGGGGGCGAGCGUUAUCCGGAUUCACUGGGUGUAAAGGGAGCGUAGACGGCCGUGCAAGCCAGGAGUGAAAGCCCGGGGCCCAACCCCGGGACUGCUCUUGGAACUGUGCGGCUGGAGUGCGGGAGGGGCAGGCGGAAUUCCUGGUGUAGCGGUGAAAUGCGUAGAUAUCAGGAGGAACACCGGCGGCGAAGGCGGCCUGCUGGACCGCGACUGACGUUGAGGCUCGAAAGCGUGGGGAGCGAACAGGAUUAGAUACCCCAGUAU